AACUCAUACUUCCAUAUUAAUGCUUUAGCAACAGUAAAUAGUCGUCACUCACUGGGGAUUCCAUGCUAUCGAUCAUCUCGUAACUCGGUUGUUGGUGAAUAUCGGACAGAUCAGAGAUUUAUUUCUUAUUUCAACGGGACAAAAAUGGAGAGAAUCACAAUUUAUGUGCAAAGAGGCAAUGGGAAGAUAUUAUCUGUUGAAACCCAUCCAGACGAUAAAAUAUCAACACUGUUCGAAAAAAUAGCAGACGUGACAGGGGAACCUGUACAAUAUACGAGACUGCUGUUUGGCGGGAAGCAAUUAACGACAGGGGAUGCUGUCAAGGACGAAAAAUCACUUGCUCACCAUGGUAUACAAAACCGGUCUAUAUUACAUCUGAUAUUCAGUUACCCAGGUGGCGGGCCAUGCAAUUACAAACAGAAGUCUGGGGACAUUUAAGAAAUGUGUAAAGUUGUCUUUCAGAUCCUGAAUAAAUUAUAAUUGAUAUCUAAAUUCGA